rnacentral:rRNA from 1 species
AACAAUUGGAGGGCAAGUCUGGUGCCAGCAGCCGCGGUAAUUCCAGCUCCAAUAGCGUAUAUUAAAGUUGUUGCAGUUAAAAAGCUCGUAGUUGGAUAUCUGCUGGAAGCAGCCAGUCCGCCCUUUGUGGGUGUGCACUUGGUGAAUUCUGGCAUCCUCCUGAUUGGUGUUAUCAUCACUUCAUUGUGUUGAUGGCAGCUGUCAGGACCGUUACUUUGAGAAAAUUAGAGUGUUUCAAGCAGGCUUGUUGCCUUGAAUACUGCAGCAUGGAAUAACAAGAUAGGAUUUCGGUUCUAUUUUGUUGGUUUCUAGGACUGAAGUAAUGAUUAAUAGGGACAGUUGGGGGCAUUCGUAUUUAACUGU